CCCCUCCCUCCUUUCUCCCUGGGUGAAACACGUGGUGUACAGCCCUGACUGGGCCACUUUCCACUGUGAGUGUGUAUCUAAUGUUUAGCAAUGGGCUCCUUUCAGAAAAGCCCCCACUGCUGUAUGACAACCUGUCUACACGAUUUUACAGCUGUCCAACAUUGGGGUUUUGCUGUUUUGCAGCCUUAGUGUGUCCCCUUUAAACAAAAACAACUGUGCUGCUAUUUUUUCCACCUUUAACACUGAGUCCCCCUUGUCGUCGAUCGGCUCGGGAACAAAUGAGAAUGGUCGUCGGAGGAAGAGGAGGCUUUACAGUCUCUUCACUGUUAAAGGGAGAAGAAAACUAGCUGAAUUCAUUCCCAUUCUCGUUUGACUGCUUCCUCGCAUUCCUCACCAGCUGCAAUACUUUCACAACUGCAUGUGUUCUUAGGCAACCAAGCAAAUUGGACAGGAAAAUUACCAUCAAGAUCACCACUAAAUGAAAGAGAGAGAGGAAAAAAGAAAAAAAAAUCAAGAAAUAUUGGAGAAUUUUCUAUUUUCUUCUUCCACUCAAAAAAAAAAAAGUACAAGAAGAAGGUAACUGGUAUCCUCCCCUUUCAAAUUCCCAUGUCUCCCUUAUUAAAGCAAAAUGUUUAAAUGGGAAUGAAUUAUUUAGAUUACACUUUAAAUGGCCUAGUGUUAACAAGGAAAAUAAGUCCCCCAAAAGGUAUAUAAAACUUUGUUCCUCUGCUAUAUUGUUGCUUUUGUUUUAAACUUUGAGUUAAAAAAAAAUCCCACUAACUAUUUUUGACAUCCAAUGUCUGCAUUGGUUGAAUGUCCUCUUAACUUAGAUCAAAUCCUCUUCUCCAUCCCCUCACCCCAUUCUAAUAACAGGAUACCAAUUUAUUAGCAAAAACAUUUUAACCUCAAGAGCAAUUAGUAAGAAAGAACACUGAAAAAAGAGCUGAGACCAGAAUGAAGUACAGUCACCUUUUGACGGGAGAGCUCAUGAAUACAGUAAUUCUAGGAGAAAGAAAUGGAGUAUAACUAUGGACGUUAAUGUGACUAUACCUGCUGUAAUUGUUUAAGACAAAUUGUACGGUACUUAAAAUAAGUUGACCCAAAUGGCCAAGCACCUCGAAUUCAAAGAUCAGAUAAUAGAUAAAUUUCACUUGAAUAACCCUACGCUCCACCCCCACCCUGCCCCACCUCCCCCCAAACAAAAACAAAACAAAAACAAAAACAAAAACAAAACACGAUCCUCAGGAAUUUGCAUAAGAUUGUUCUUCCCAGGUUCUCUAGGCUGAAUCCACAGCCAAACGGUUUUCUUUUCUCCUCCUCCUCCUCCUCCUCCCUCUCCUUCU